AUGACUAUGAAUCAUAUUUUUAAUAUAAGGGAGGAUAACUUUUUUAACAAAAUUUUUUCCUUCCACACCCAUGAGUCGAUUACUUUGCCUCCUAAUUUAAUGUUAGUUUUACCAAUGUAAUUCUAGGGCCAGCUGCUAUGGUAUCCCUAAAAUAUCCUUUGCCUUUAACAUUUAAGCCACCAUCUCUUGUAUGAUGAAAACUCACUCACCCCUCCACUUUUUUCCAUCUUUAUACUAAAUUUUCUGAGUCUUAAAUUCCUCCUAGUUGCUUCCAGCAUGCACGUUAGAUUGCUUAGAUUGAGUGCCCUGUCUCCACUGUGCCCUUCACUUCCUGUAAUUGCACCCACCAAGUCUUAUGCUUCCAUGUUAAAUUUAUGGAUUUUGAUUUGUAGAUUGCCCAUGUAUUUUAACAGGAAGAAUUGGGCCCAACAUAUGCCAUGUGGGAUCUAGACAAAAAUUACUGAUAUACUUGAAUAAGAAAUAGGGCCUUGGGCUCGGGACCAAGCAAUGGAUUCAUAAUGAUAUUAUUUAAUUACAUUGAGCCCAAACUGUUUAAUUGGUGAAAUAUGAAAAGCUCUGCAGUGAUUUUUUUUUCCCAAGAAAAAAAUGACACUCCUUCUGGAUGCUUCUCCUCGAAUGACGUGUCGUGUGGCAUGCAUGUUUGAGUCCCUUGGUGGCUUAUUAAUUUGAAAUGUUGGUCCAGUGGGGCUUUCUGAUAUUUUGAAAUCUUUUUCUAAGCAAUAUCCUUCUGGUGUCUUCUCUCUUGCCCUUCUUUCUCACAACUCAAAGAUUUACUCUUUCACCCAAGCCAUCAGCUUAAAUUAUACUCAAUGAAUAUAACGAGAUCUUUGUGCUUUGUAAAUAUAAUCAGUCUUUCCCGAGUAACUGUCAACAGAAGGCUAUUUGCUGUGAAGUGCUGUUGAAGACUUUUUUUGUGUGUUUGUGGUUUACUGGAUGUGAAACUGUUUAUUUGAAAUGUCAUUUCCUGGAAUGUUCUGGUAUCAGUGGACAAAGUCUAUGGCCA
rnacentral:lncRNA from 1 species